rnacentral:rRNA from 1 species
AGAGUUUGAUCCUGGCUCAGGAUGAACGCUAGCGGCGUGCCUAACACAUGCAAGUCGAACGUGAAGAGGACUUCGGUCCUCUGAAAGUGGCGGACGGGUGAGUAAUACGUAGGUAACCUGCCUUGAAGUGGGGGAUAACCAUUGGAAACGAUGGCUAAUACCGCAUGGUUCUGCGGAUACGGGAGUAUCCACAGGUAAAGCUCCGGCGCUUCAAGAGGGGCCUGCGUCCGAUUAGUUAGUUGGUGAGGUAAAAGCUCACCAAGACGAUGAUCGGUAGCUGGUCUGAGAGGACGAUCAGCCACACGGGAACUGAGACACGGUCCCGACUCCUACGGGGGGCAGCAGUGAGGAAUAUUCGUCAAUGGGGGCAACCCUGAACGAGCAACGCCGCGUGGAGGAUGAAGGCCCUUGGGUUGUAAACUCCUUUUCUGUGGGAAGAGGAAGGACGUACCACAG